AACGGUCUAUACCUGCGGUACCUGCGGAGGGAUCAUUAAUGAAAGAUUGGGAUUUGAGACUGCGUUAUAGUGUGCUCGAUCCUUAAUUUUCCACAUACACCUCUGUGCACUAUGAAGGGGGCAACCCCCUUUUUAUCGCAAACACGUAGUUAUAUGCAUGUCUAAAGUAGUAAUAAUACUCAUUACAACUUUUAACAAUGGAUCUCU
rnacentral:misc_RNA from 1 species